rnacentral:rRNA from 1 species
AAACAGGAUUAGAUACCCUGGUAGUCCACGCCCUAAACGAUGAAUACUAGAUGUUUGGUACCUAGCGUACUGAGUGUCGUAGCUAACGCGAUAAGUAUUCCGCCUGGGAAGUACGGCCGCAAGGUUAAAAACUCAAAGGAAUUGACGGGGGCCCGCACAAGCGGUGGAGCAUGUGGUUUAAUUCGAUGCAACGCGAAGAACCUUACCUGGGCUUGACAUGUCCGGAAUCCUGCAGAGAUGCGGGAGUGCCCUUCGGGGAAUCGGAACACAGGUGCUGCAUGGCUGUCGUCAGCUCGUGUCGUGAGAUGUUGGGUUAAGUCCCGCAACGAGCGCAACCCUUGUCCUUAGUUGCCAGCGGUUCGGCCGGGCACUCUAGGGAGACUGCCGGUGACAAACCGGAGGAAGGUGGGGAUGACGUCAAGUCCUCAUGGCCUUUAUGUCCAGGGCUACACACGUGCUACAAUGGCGCGUACAGAGGGACGCCAAACCGCGAGGUGGAGCAGACCCCAGAAAGCGCGUCGUAGUUCGG